AGCGAACGCUGGCGGCAGGCUUAACACAUGCAAGUCGAACGGGCAUAGCAAUAUGUCAGUGGCAGACGGGUGCGUAACGCGGGGGAACGUACCUUUUGGUUCGGAACAACACAGGGAAACUUGUGCUAAUACCGGAUAAGCCCUUACGGGGAAAGAUUUAUCGCCGAAAGAUCGGCCCGCGUCUGAUUAGCUAGUUGGUAGGGUAAUGGCCUACCAAGGCGACGAUCAGUAGCUGGUCUGAGAGGAUGAUCAGCCACAUUGGGACUGAGACACGGCCCAAACUCCUACGGGAGGCAGCAGUGGGGAAUAUUGGGCAAUGGGCGAAAGCCUGAUCCAGCCAUGCCGCGUGAGUGAUGAAGGCCCUAGGGUUGUAAAGCUCUUUUGUGCGGGAAGAUAAUGACGGUACCGCAAGAAUAAGCCCCGGCUAACUUCGUG
rnacentral:rRNA from 1 species